GCAGCGCGGGGCAACCUGGCGGCGAGUGGCGAACGGGUGAGUAAUAUAUCGGAACGUGCCCUGGAGUGGGGGAUAACGCAGCGAAAGUUGCGCUAAUACCGCAUACGAUCUAAGGAUGAAAGCGGGGGAUUCGCAAGAACCUCGUGCUCCUGGAGCGGCCGAUAUCUGAUUAGCUAGUUGGUGGGGUAAAGGCCUACCAAGGCAUCGAUCAGUAGCUGGUCUGAGAGGACGACCAGCCACACUGGAACUGAGACACGGUCCAGACUCCUACGGGAGGCAGCAGUGGGGAAUUUUGGACAAUGGGCGAAAGCCUGAUCCAGCAAUGCCGCGUGAGUGAAGAAGGCCUUCGGGUUGUAAAGCUCUUUUGUCAGGGAAGAAACGGUGAAGGCUAAUAUCCUUUGCUAAUGACGGUACCUGAAGAAUAAGCACCGGCUAACUACGUGCCAGCAGCCGCGGUAAUACGUAGGGUGCAAGCGUUAAUCGGAAUUACUGGGCGUAAAGCGUGCGCAGGCGGUUUUGUAAGUCUGUCGUGAAAUCCCCGGGCUCAACCUGGGAAUUGCGAUGGAGACUGCAAGGCUAGAAUCUGGCAGAGGGGGGUAGAAUUCCACGUGUAGCAGUGAAAUGCGUAGAGAUGUGGAGGAACACCGAUGGCGAANGCAGCCCCCUGGGUCAAGAUUGACGCUCAUGCACGAAAGCGUGGGGAGCAAACAGGAUUAGAUACCCUGGUAGUCCACGCCCUAAACGAUGUCUACUAGUUGUCGGGUUUUAAUUAACUUGGUAACGCAGCUAACGCGUGAAGUAGACCGCCUGGGGANUACGGUCGCAAGAUUAAAACUCAAAGGAAUUGACGGGGACCCGCACAAGCGGNGGAUGAUGNNGAUUAAUUCGAUGCAACGCGAAAAACCUUACCUACCCUNGAC
rnacentral:rRNA from 1 species